CCUACGGGUGGCAGCAGUGAGGAAUAUUGGUCAAUGGACGCAAGUCUGAACCAGCCAUGUCGCGUGCAGGAAGAUGGCCCUAUGAGUUGUAAACCUCUUUUGUCCGGGAGUAAAUCGCGCUACGUGUAGCUGGUUGAGAGUAUCGUACGAAUAAGCAUCGGCUAACUCCGUGCCAGCAGCCGCGGUAAUACGGAGGAUUCAAGCGUUAUCCGGAUUUAUUGGGUUUAAGGGGUGCGUAGGCGGUCGGGUAAGUCAGCGGUGAAAUCCCGGGGCUCAAACCCGGACUGCCGUUGAAACUGCAGCGCUUGAGUUUAGGAGCAGUAGGCGGAAUGCAUGGUGUAGCGGUGAAAUGCAUAGAUAUCACACAGAACACCGAUUGCGAAGGCAGCUUACCAGACCACAACUGACGCUGAUGCACGAAAGCGUGGGUAGCAAACAGGAUUAGAUACCCUUGUAGUC
rnacentral:rRNA from 1 species